GGGCCAAGUGUGAUCACCAGUACAGUGAGAGCCAGAUACAGAAUGGUUUCCUUCUUUGUGGUCCAUGGGCCCUCAGAGUUCCUGUGUGUAUAUCUUGGUCAUCGGAAUCUCCUCCUUUGAAUGAAAGACACAGAAAAACACAUUCAAGAGAGAAACAGAGAUGAGAAAAGCUAGACUGAUGUUUGCAAGUUCCAAGGGAAGGUGGGAGCCGCUAGUCUUUGAAAGGAAGAGAAAAAAGAAUGACAGGAUGGCGAGAACUCUCAUGCUCUAAUGGCCUCCAGACAUCCAGAGGAAAGGAGCUGAGUCUGUCUUUUCACUGUCAUAUCCUCGGCACCCAGUCCAGUCCUGGCAAAAACUAAGUGUUCAACAAACAUUUGUUGAGUGAGUGAGUAAAUGCAUGAAAAAAAAUUGUCUCAGAGACUUUUUGAAGGAUAGAGAAUAGAAAAUGAGAAAGUUUGCAUCGAUUUUGUAUGUUGCACGUCUUUAGAAGAGAUAUGAAGGGGUGGAAAAAAAUGGGUAAGAUUCUGAAAAGCCAUUUGGGGAAUGCGAUAGAGAAAUCAGCUAAAGAUUAAAGCAAGAAGAGUUGAGCAGUGACAAUAACCU